rnacentral:lncRNA from 1 species
GUUUCUCCUGGGGGUGCUCUUCCGAGGAUAUCUGGGCUGCCUCCGGAGUCGCAGUGUCUUGGGCCGCCUGAAGAUAUUAUUUCCCCCUGAUGCUUUCCUGAAAGCUCCUGCAAUCAACUACAGGUCAGAAUGUUCGUCUCCAAGACAGGACUCCCUCUGAGACUCACAGAAAAGACUAUGACAGGUACUCUGGUUAUAGGCUUCUGAUGAUAUUGCUUAAAUAACUUUAAGACCAUACACUUGACUCAGUUAAGGUCUCCAGAAGUCUGGUUGGGAAACUGAUGGGUUCAUGACACUGCUAACUCAAGAUCCACAAGACUGGAAUUGAUUACAUGGCACUGAAUGAACUGAUGAAAAUUGAUUAUAAUUGUAUAGCUUUUUGGAGCAUUGCUGGUUAAUAUUCUAGUUUCUGGAUUUAAGAAAUCUCUUUCUCUUACUCUAACUGUAACUUACAACAAUUUAGUAGAUUAUACUUUUGUAAACAGAAAUGAAGCGUUUAUCUUUUUUUCUUGGCUGAUUUUUCCAGAAUUUUGAAAUCCUUACUGAAUACUCUUAUUUCCACGAUGAUAUUGUUGUUAGCAAAAGUCCAGUAAGAAUCUAUUCACCUUAUAACAGGACAUAAUUGGAAAUUUUGGUUAUAUUAUCAAGGUUUUUACUGGAAUAUCAUAUUUAGGAAGUGUACCUAAGAUCAGUUAUGACCAGCAAUUUUAAGGAAGUAAGGUUGACUUUUAUGGAGACAAUGCUUACAAAGCACUGUGGAAAACUUUGAGGAAAGUUCUUCCUUAAAGAUUAUAAAGUCACAACUACCCACUAUUUUUAUAUGUGUGUGUGUGUGUGUGUUCCAAAUCACUUGUCCUAGCUUGCUCCAGCAUGCCUGGACAGAACUAGACAAGCCCCAGCCCAUAGUGCAUGCCAUUCCUUAUUUGGAGAUGCUUCCUUAACUAUCCCUGGGCAACUUCCUUUUCUUUCCUUCUUCUAUUCCCCUUACCUAAUUAAGAAAGUUUUAAACUAACAGCCAAUCGGGUAAAGUGUAAAAUGGGAGGUCCUAUUCCAGCCAAUGGAAACUGGACACAGCAGUAGGGUAGACACGUCAGGUUAUAAGUAACUCUGUCUCCUUUGUUUGGUGUGCUCUUGUAGCUGGACAGCUAUUGAGUAGCACCCUUUGUGCAGAAAAAUAAAGCUCGCCUUGCUAAGAGAUCAUUUGUUCCCAUGUUAGUUCUUUUUUUUGGGGGGGGGAACAUAAAAAACUUCAUUCCCAACAGCACUCUGAGAAAACCCAGCCUGAUACCUAGAUUACAGGGUUCACAGCCUUAUAGGUUAGUAAGGAAGGUCAUUUCCUGGUAGGCCCAGGAAUUUAGGGAUAUUUUGGGGCCUCAAGAAGAGAGGAAUUCACACAAAGCUAUAAGGACUGCAGCUGAAAUUUGAUAGUAUGCUCUUGGCUUGGCUUUUAGCCUGAAUAAGGCCUUUAAAAGUCAAGUCUGAGAUUCUGUAUGAAAACUUCCAGCAAAGAAACCUGAAAGCACCUACGUGGUCAUCUCCUGUUCUUGCUGCACUUACGUAAAUAAUCAAGCAAAAUCUAACAAAACUAGACUUAUUUUUAAAACAAGAAUAGUCUUACUUUGAUUAUGAUAAAAAAUGAUGGUUACUACAGAGAGAAAUUUUAUCUUUCAAAGGAAAAGUAUAACACAGCCGGGCAUGGUGGCACAUGCCUAUAAUUACAGCCCUUUGGAAGGCCAGGAGUUCAACAUCAGCCUGGGCGACAUGGUGAAACCCCGUCUCUACCAAAAAUACAAAAAUUAGAUGGGCAUGACGGCAUGUGCCUGUAGUCCCAGGUAAUCAGGAGGCUGAGGAGGGAGGAUCGUUUGCACCCAGGAGGUAGAGGUUGCAGUGAGCUGAGAUUGCACCUUUGCACUCCAGCCUGGGUGACAGAGCCAGACCCUGUCUCAAAAAAAAUUUUUUUAAAGGAAAACUAUAGCCAUUGUGAGUUAUCAGAUUCUAGUCUUGUUUCUUGUUUCUGGGCUAUUUUUACCUCUUUGUAAACUGGAUCCUGCCAUCUGAUGAAUUUUGUCCCACAAUGAUACUUGGGGAACAAGAAGCCAAGUAUUGUCUCUCCUACUAAUGUAUCUAUUGUCAGUUAAUUUGAAGGUCUCCAACCCUGGAACAAAGUUAGAAGAGGAAGGUUCUGCUCCCCAAAAUGCAUAACCAAAUUGUGCUACAUUCAUGUAAUGGAAUACUAUUUAGCCAUAGAAAGGAACAAGAUAUCAACACACACAAAGACAUGAGUGAAUCUUGCAUGCACAUUGCUAAGUGGAAGAAGACAGUCUGAGGAGGAUACACACAGUGUGACCUCAUUUAAUGAGACACUGGAGAAGGCAAACUACACAGAUGGGAAGCCAUUGGCUCCAUGGGGUGGGGGUUUGAGGCAUUCCAUUUGAUACUUUAAUAGUGGGUUAUCUGCCACAAUACAUUUGUCGAAAUAUGCAGAAUUUUACAGCCAAAUGGUUAAAGCAAACUCUAUUCAAAUUAAAUCAAAUUACUCAGGAUGUGGAGUAUCCCAGGACAGAAUACAUCAUGUGAAAAAGAAUUUAUGCUACAAAUUACUAUGGUUUGGAUGUGGUUUGUCCCCACAAAAACUCAUGUUGAAAUUUGACUCCCACUGGGUCAGUGUGGGGCGGUGGGGCCUAGUGGACGGUGUUUGGAUCAUGGGGACGGAUCCCUCAUGAAUAGAUUAAUGUCCUCCAUGGGGGUGAGUGAGUUCUGUUCUCACAGGAAUAGAUAAUUCCUGCAGGAGUAAGUAAUUAAAAAGAGUCUGGCUUCCUUGGCUUCCCUCUUGCUUUCACUUCUGCUAUGUGAUCUCUGGUGCACCCCUUGCUCCCCUUCCACUUUCCACCAUGAGGUGAAAAAGACUGAGGCCCUGCCAGAUGCAACUGCCCAAUCUCAGACAUUCCAGCCACCAGUAUUGUGAACCAAAUGAAACUUUUUUACUUAUAAAUUGCGCAGCCUCAG